rnacentral:rRNA from 1 species
UACAGAGGAGCCAAGCGUUGUCCGGAUUUACUGGGCGUAAAGCGUGCGCAGGCGGUUGGUUAAGUUUGAUGUGAAAGCCCCGGGCUCAACUUGGGAACUGCAUUGGAAACUGGCCAGCGGGAGUGUGGCAGAGGGGGGUGGAAUUCCGCGUGUAGCAGUGAAAUGCGUAGAGAUGCGGAGGAACACCGAUGGCGAAGGCAGCCCCCUGGGCCAACACUGACGCUCAGGCACGAAAGCGUGGGGAGCGAACAGG